rfam:Mesocricetus auratus contig173601, whole genome shotgun sequence.
CCAAAGGCUCUUUUCAGAGCCACUUCAGUUCUCAAGAGAGAGCUGU